GUCUACGGCCAUACCACCCUGAACACGCCUGAUCCCGUCUGAUCUCGGAAGCUAAUCAGGGUCAGGCCUGGUUAGUACUUGGAUGGGAGACCUCCUAGGAAGACCAGGUGCUCUAGGCG
rnacentral:rRNA from 1 species